CCAAUGUAGAGUUAAUAAUGGGAUUGAAUUAUGCAAAAGAGAAAGAAUGAAAAAGUUACAAGAACUCAAGCAAAAGUUUGUAACUGAUACAGAGACCCAUAAUUUCAAUUCCCUAAAGGUUACUGUUGCUAAUGAUAAUAAUGCUUUAAAAACGUUCACAGAUGACCUCCCACCAAACUUAGUUAAUUCUAUAAAUAGCUUUAUGGCACAGGUACCCUUAGAAAAUACAUCUGAUUUGAAUCCAGAAGCUAAUACCUUCCAUCCAGAAAUGAGUGAUAUAGAUAAGGAAAAAUUAACUGAACAUGAAACUGAAAUUACUCUUGAAAAUAAUUAUCCUAUUCAAAGUAAUGGAGACGUAACGACAGUUAAAUUUGAAGAGGGGUAUGGAAUGGAAUUCGUACCAACUGGAAAAACUACCAUGGAUUCAAAAGACAGGCUUGAAUCCAACAUUCUAAGGGGCAAAGGGGAAUCUAGUCAAAGAAACAGCCAUGGUUUAGGUUCAUAUUCCAAUGUAGACAUCACAGGAAAUGAAUCAAAUCAAGAAGAAUUAACUGAGACACAUAUGCACCUGGCAGAGAGUAGCAAAGACCUGAACACUGAGUCAAUAGGUGUGAAUAUCGUAGCUACAAUGCCAGAAACAGAUAUAUGUUGUAUGGGGGGACAGCAUGAAAGCACACAUCCUAAUGAUGAUGCAGGGAGACAUGCCAACUUAUUCCCAGAAGAAAGUAGUGAAAUAGAGGAAAAGAUUCCUAUCCCUACACAGUCAAAUGAGAAUGAAGAUAAACAUAAGCAUCAGACUAGUGGUAGUGUAAGAUCUAUGAUUAUUAACAGUAUAGCAGAUCUGCAUAACCCCAUACCAUCAAGUUUACCAAUUCAAAAUGAAAUUCUAAAGCUUAGUAAUGACAAACUACCUGAAACUGAUUUGAGAAACACAAAAGCUUAUGACAUAGGCUUAGAUCAAAAGGCAAAGCCAGAGUUACCAACAUCUGACAAAAGUUUACAUGGCAUUGGGCAAAAUCCAAAGAACAUAGUGAUUGAAUUCAGUGAUUCAGAUUCAGAUACUGAAUCUGAAGGAAUACCAGAAGGAGUUCUGCUUAUCCUCACACUGAAUGAAUAUUCCAUCUCCUCUCCAUCCUCAUAUCCAUUUCCAGGCAUUUCCCAGAUGGUGCCUUUUCGGUGUCCUUCAUUCCUCCUUUCUUUUAGAUCAUAUUCAUUCAACAUUCCUGCUGACCACAACAUGGAAGCUUAGUGUGAGUGAAACUUUAUGACUCAUUGAUAUGUUGAUUCUCUAUGACUGACUACUAAUCAUGGAACUUCCAUGGAUUAUACUAAAGUGGUAACUAGACUUCAGCAUCUCAUCUUCCUUUCUAGAUUUAAUAAAUGAGCUGUCAUGAACUAUUUCUGAGGAAAC
rnacentral:lncRNA from 1 species